GAUGAACGCUGGCGGCGUGCCUAAUACAUGCAAGUCGAGCGAACGGACGAGAAGCUUGCUUCUCUGAUGUUAGCGGCGGACGGGUGAGUAACACGUGGAUAACCUACCUAUAAGACUGGGAUAACUUCGGGAAACCGGAGCUAAUACCGGAUAAUAUUUUGAACCGCAUGGUUCAAAAGUGAAAGACGGUCUUGCUGUCACUUAUAGAUGGAUCCGCGCUGCAUUAGCUAGUUGGUAAGGUAACGGCUUACCAAGGCAACGAUGCAUAGCCGACCUGAGAGGGUGAUCGGCCACACUGGAACUGAGAAACGGUCCAGACACCUACGGGAGGCAGCAGUAGGGAAUCUUCCGCAAUGGGCGAAAGCCUGACGGAGCAACGCCGCGUGAGUGAUGAAGGUCUUCGGAUCGUAAAACUCUGUUAUUAGGGAAGAACAUAUGUGUAAGUAACUGUGCACAUCUUGACGGUACCUAAUCAGAAAGCCACGGCUAACUACGUG
rnacentral:rRNA from 1 species